UGGCGGCCAUAGCGCGGUGGUCCCACCUGACCCCAUGCCGAACUCAGAAGUGAAACGCCGUAGCGCCGAUGGUAGUGUGGGGUCUCCCCAUGCGAGAGUAGGACACUGCCAGGUA
rnacentral:rRNA from 1 species